ACGGCUUCUAUGGGAUGAAGUGUGAUCGGUUAUGUUCCUCUAGUUGUGAAAACUACACAUGCGCACAAUAUGAAGGGACAUGUACAGCAUGCAGACCUGGAUAUUUUGGUGAUACCUGCAACACAAGCUGCCCGUCAAAUUGCAAAGGGGAUAUAUGUUAUCAGACCAGUGGGUUAUGUACAGUAUGCGAACCUGGAUAUUAAUGGUGUUACCUGCAACAAAAG